UUAAGGAGUACAACCCGGAGACCCUUAUCUUCUUCGUCCGCCUCCUCUCCAAUUUCAGGGUUCUUCUUUGUUUUCUUUGAUGUCUAACUUCAACAAUAGAGUUCUGAAAGAUUGAUAUGCUCAAAUGGAUGUGAAGAAUCUCUCUGUAGUGUAUCAAUCACGUCGUUUAAUCUUCCUUACAUCUCAAUCGAAACGUUUCCGAGUUACAGAUUCAUCGUCUUUAUCGCCUUAUUAACUUCAUCAACCACGAUUUAGCUUUCAAUGAAAGUUUCUCUUCUGCAACUCGGCCUAUCUGAGACUAUAAGAAGAGACAAAGAGGAGAAAGUGGCUUGAAGAUAACCCAUUAACAGCUACUAACGACAAGCCUUUUCUUCUCGAUCCUUCGAUUAUCCCAUGGUUGGAAUGGAUGAAGCGAUAGCAUCUACCAGAAGCUGAACUCUUCAAUUAAUGGUUGUGCUGCAGUGAUAGGGUUCUUCAGGGUUUCCUUCUUUGUGCUGUCAUUUUUUGGGUAUUGAAAUCUAGAGGUCCGUUUGAAGGUUGAAACAUGGGUUCAAGGAUGUUGGCCAAGAGAUUGAACAUCUGGAGGAAUGGAGUAAAAUCUAGGAUGGGCAGACGAACAUUAUUUUUUAUAGCCAUAAUUCUGGAUUAAUUGGACUAAAAAAGAAAAAGCUUUAUAGAUCACUUGACCAAGAUGAUUAUGCAUAUUGUGGGUAUGUCAAGGUAAAAUGAUUAUCAAAGUUUGACUAUUGAGUGUAUGACAAGGUAAAAUUGGGGUGCCGUAGGCAAGAGAAAGAGACUAAGAGAUUCCUAAUGAGUUUGAGAUUCUUCUCUUUUCAUUUCUUUAUUCUUAUUCAUAAACAUGGCCUGAUUUGUUUGAGUAAAUAUAAAGUUUUGGCCUUUUGUGUGGUAAUUUGCUUUUGAGUUUGUCAUGUAGCUUGGUUUCCGUCUAAUUUUUCAUCUGUAAUGGCUUCUCAUAAACUGGUUUGGAGUACAAUAGCAUUCAGUUGUUUUGGUCAA